GACGAACGCUGGCGGCGUGCUUAACACAUGCAAGUCGAACGGAAAGGCCCUGCUUGCAGGGUACUCGAGUGGCGAACGGGUGAGUAACACGUGGGUGAUCUGCCCUGCACUUCGGGAUAAGCCUGGGAAACUGGGUCUAAUACCGGAUAGGAGCCAUUUUUAGUGUGAUGGUUGGAAAGUUUUUUCGGUGUAGGAUGAGCUCGCGGCCUAUCAGCUUGUUGGUGGGGUAAUGGCCUACCAAGGCGGCGACGGGUAGCCGGCCUGAGAGGGUGGACGGCCACAUUGGGACUGAGCUACGGCCCAGACUCCUACGGGAGGCAGCAGUGGGGAAUAUUGCACAAUGGGCGCAAGCCUGAUGCAGCGACGCCGCGUGGGGGAUGACGGCCUUCGGGUUGUAAACUCCUUUCGCUAGGGACGAAGCUUUUUGUGACGGUACCUAGAGAAGAAGCACCGGCUAACUACGUG
rnacentral:rRNA from 1 species